rnacentral:lncRNA from 1 species
AAGCAAGCGAGAGUGGUCUAGUAGAGAGGGAUGAGAUCGCGAGCGUGGUUAAGCGUUUGAUGGAAGGGGAAGAAGGGAAGAGAUUGCGGAAGAGGGCAGAGGAGCUCAGACAUGCAGCAGCUUGUUCUCUCGGACAAGAAGGGUCUUCAGUCAGGGCAACGUCGGAUGUGGCCCGUGAAUGGAUGGAUAGGAUAGGAGGGAUUGGAGGGUGUGACGGCAAAAAAAUAAAAAUAAAAAUGGAUAUGAUGGGAGGGUCUGACGAUUCCUAAGCUGCUAUCGCACCUGCUACUUUAUUAGUUAUUUUUGAAUAUCGUAUGGUUAUCGAGAUUCCUGGUUGAAAUGUGAUAUGGUAUUUUAUGGCUCGGUUCCUUAAAAGUAGUGUCCAUCUGGUUUGGCCAACGGAACCACCACCCGAUGCGACAAAACUCUUCGAUAAUGGGCCUGUCUUAGCGCUCAAAAUGUAUAGGUUUCCUCGAAGUCGAAAUUAUUAAGUUGAUGCGGAGGAUCACAACUCUAUACAAAAUCCCUGAGCGUUUUAAUUUAUUGGGAGGUAACUGGUAGGUUAGACCUCUCCUGAGCAUUUGGAUGCAACGUUAAUGUGCAGUUCUCAUCCUGAUCCGCUGCAUAUUUUGAAUCCACCGGCCGAUAGGGCACAUGAUCAUCCUAAGUUUGUGCUACCACCGUUCUACUGAGCGCAUUGGCUCGCAAGAGAGCCCAUUACUUAUGUUCGAUCUGCACCAUCCAUGCCGAUGCAUAUGAGUUAUGUUAAACUUAGUCGAGCAAAGUCCCCAAUGUCAUCUUGCCUCUAAGAUUCGUGGAGAGGACAAGGGCUUGGCCUUAUGGUUCCUCUCUCUCUUCUUUUUUUUNNNNNNNNNNNNNNNNNNNNNNNNNNNNNNNNNNNNNNNNNNNGUUCGAAGUGUCGGGUAACGAAGGAGGCAAUCCAAUCUGCAGCUCCGUUUACCUUCCGAAAUGCAUAUACUGUCUGGAAGGACUCUAUCCUCCUGACUAGUCUACGAGUCUCAUUGAUCAACGGGUGACCAUCCCCAUAUCAGUUCACUCUCCAUAUCCAAUCGAUCACCAUGGAGGAGUCUCCUUAAGGUGGAUCCUCUCUGCUCCAAAAACUCUCAUUGCCUUUGUGGUUUCUUCAUGGGCCAUUCAUUUGGGGAUUUUACGACGCGCUGUGCACGAAGCGCUACACUGAAAUAGCGUCUUGCAAGCAGUCCUGCUGUUGUUUGCGUGGCUACCGUGUGCGGAACAAAAAGAUGAAGGGUGGCUUUGGGGCUCGAAGUAAGCGAGAACUCUCUGGUAUAGAGGGAGAAAUAGAAAGGGGUCAUUGGAAAUGUAAUAGAGGGUGAAAAAGGGAAGAGAGAUUGGGAGGGAGAGUGGUGAUCAGGGAUGCAGCAGUUUGUGCUUUUUGCAAGUGAGGAUCCUCAGCCUAAGCAGUGUCGGAGAUAGGCGGCGACUGGCGAGUGAAUGCACGAAAAGGGCCAGAGGAAGUGAUUCUUGAGCUGGUAUUGCAAAUUAUAAUCGAAUAUUAGGUUAACGUUAAGGUCUCCUGAUUGUAUAUGUUAUGCUGGUAUUUUGUUGCUGUGGUUCUCACCUUUGCCAAUUCUAUUAACAUGCAGUUGGACGGUCCGGAGAUGGAGAGCUAUAACUAAAGUUGGACGAACCAUCCGGUUUGGGAUGUACCAAACCGAACCAUGAAAAAUUAGGACAGUUCGCUCGAUUGAUUUGGAUCCAUUGGAUUAAAUAUUUGAAAAGAUGUCCACCGUAUUAGGGUCCAUUUGACUAAAAAAAUUGCUUAAAAAGUCCUUGCACCACCGGCUCGAUCAUUUGAGAAACCCACGUGAUUGCCACUCACCUAUGCAAUCGGCUCGAAGCACCUUCCCACCCCUUCUCACACUUGGAGCAAAUCCCCCUCACUUGCAACAUCACCGGUAAGGAUCCUCUCUCUCUCGUUCUCCUCCCACUCCCUUUCUCUCUCCCUCCCUCCUUACUAGGUUAGGGUCAGGUUGUAAUCCUCCCCUUUCUUUCUCUCUUCCUCGCUUACUCUCUCCUCCUCUCUUCUUCUCAUUUUCUCCCUCUCCCCCCUUGUCUCUUUGUUUUCCAUUCACCUUGAAUCGGUAGCCUAUAUGUCCGGCAAAUCUUGCCUAUAACUCUCUCUUUCCCAUCAUCAUCCUAAAUAACGGGCCCAUGGUAUCAAACCCACCCACGCUUAAUCUAACCAUUCAUGCCUCAUAGACAAGUAAUCAGCACGCCUUCAAGGCCCCGACGAAAAAGUCACUGCAAUUUUGGCAUGCAUAAAUGGACUUGGAUGGCUAAUUAACAUUUGUCUUCAUUAUCCAUCUUGUUUAUUUGAACUGGCCGUGAACCACAGAUUAAUAAUAAUAAUAAUAUGAUAUUUUUGCAUGAAUAUUCUUCUAAAUAUCAAAUUUUGUAUGGAUACUCUUUCAAACUUGAUAUUUGCACGUAUACCCUAAUAAAAAAGUUGUUUUGCUGCUUUAGUCAUUUUUUUUAUCCUUGUUUUUGUAUAUAUACAUGAGCUAUCUAACGCUACUAAAAAAUUUAUAAUUUCAAAUUAAAAUAAUUAAAAUAUUUUUAAUAGGUAGAUAUGAAAUGAAAAAAAAAGAAGAAAAAAGAAAAAAAAGAAGCUGUUUGCAAUGCAUGACCAAGCCUAUCUUGGUGUAAUUGAGCUUGCCGGCUCAGGAUCAAGCCUAGUAAAGAUUGGGCCGAACCCAAGAUCACAUCAUUUGGGUCUGUGAAGGUACAACAUACGGAAGUUUGAGAAGCCCUCGAAACCCCGGAGCAAAAGGUGGCCGAUUGGGAGGCGAGUUGGGAAUAGCAACUUUGACCCCCACGCGGGGCGUGGUGAGGGUUGGGGUCAAAAGUCCUUGGAUCUGGUCGGCAACGACGGUUUUGGUGCCUCUGAUGUGCUCCGGCGGUGGUGGCCGAACUUCGGAGCCAGCGAUUGAUGGAGUUUUCUCCGAUCUUCUCCAGCAUCGGUGGCCGGCAACAUCGCUCGGCAAGGAAGAAGAUGAGACGUUUCUUGACGAAGAAGACGCGUCCUUCCAUGGAAGACGCGUGUCUUUCGGAGGGCCGAUUUCAACAUCCCGCACAACGGAUUUUUUUUUUUCCGGGCUUAUGCAUGUACCAGUGGGCUUUGGGCCUAUUCGUUGGUCCAUCUAUAAGGGCUUCUGCUUGAAGUCGUGGGGCUCCGCCCUUCCGUCGUGAGAGGAAGGUGAGAAAGGCCUUAGAAGGCAGCUGUGGCCUAGUUAGGCCGUUCUACAAUUAAAAAGAUCGUGUCAAUUCAAUUAGCAGAUGACUUAAUGUAGCUUUUCUUCUAUGUAAUUUUUUACGUAUGGUAUUGCUGUCGGCUUUGUUAUUAGCAUAAAUGGUUCCAAGAGACACUUCUUGGCUUCGCCCGUUAUUUAAUUAGGGAAAUGCCUCUGGACUCUUCUGUGCACAUCAAUCAGAGACUCUGAGCAUGCCAGGCUUGUUGGAUCCAACAAUGAAUGUGGAUAUGUUGGCAAGUAAUAUAAACCGUCGGUACCUUCUGUAUGCUACGUAGCCAAAUGGUACUCAAGUCACAUAUAUUUUAAUUGGAUUCAAGGCUGGCUUCAUGCACUGGGUAUGUGAGAUGCAUAAGUUCUUAGUAAAAAAUCAGCUAUUAUCCCCUAAGUGUUCAUAGAUUUUUCUCCUAUUUCCAUGACACUAAAGAUACCCGCACAUUAGUUAGUACCUUCUCUAUUUCACUAUUUCUUAAAAAACAUUAUUUCUUCAAAUCAAAAUGAACAAAGGAUGAAUCAAAAGGAUGCGUUUAUAACAUAUAAAAGUGCUCAAGAAGAACAUUGAACAUCUUAUCUUAUCAUGCAUACUUUGUAUCCCAGGAUACACCACUGAUAUGGUGCGAAUGGUAUAGGAUAUUAUUUUCUUUCUAGGAACAGUUGAGUUGGGAUCUUCUCGGAUAUGGAUUAAACAGGAGAGGUCCAGCUCCUAGUUAUCAACCAUUCAUAUACUAUAAAAUGACAUAAUUUGGUGAGACCUGUGAUAUAUCUACCCGUAAUUUAUCCUUGGUUUUCUCAAUCAUCCAUGGAACUACAGGACAUCGAGAAUUAGCGGUCGGAAACUAAACCUUUCUGUUUUAAUUCUGAACUAGAAAAUAUUACCCAUUUGGUAUUUCGGAGAAGGAAAUGCUGUCCAUUGGAAUUAGAAUAGCUUCAUGGUGCGUCACAUCACAAACCCAUGAAGCCAUUUUUUUUUUUUUGGCUUCUUCUCUGUUUUGUUCUGUUCCUCUCUGCCUUACUCUGUAAAAUUUCGUUCGAUUUUGCUUGUCAAUGAUAAUAAAACACGAGCAGAAAAUCGAAGAAGUACAUGCAGCCGUACUGCCAGCUUUGAGUGGAGAUUCUUUCCAUCAGGCAAGAACUUUGGGGGAACGGGGAUAGAGAGGAUAACCUUCCAUCGGAGUGUAUCCUUCUCUUUUUGGAUUAAGCUUCAGGCUGUUUCCUUUUCGAAAAGAACCAUAGACACCCGCAAAUUUCAANNNNNNNNNNNNNNNNNNNNNNNNNNNNNNNNNNNNNNNNNNNNNNNNNNNNNNNNNNAUACAUAUAUAUAUAUAUAUGACUAAAAAAAUAGGAAUGAGUGAAGGAUAAUAAUUAAGUCGCUGGUACAUAAUACCAGCUCGUAACUUGAUCAACUCAACCAAUUAGCAUCUCAAACUUUUAGCAUUCUAGGUUUUAAUACCAUAUCCGUUCCUACUCAUCUACCCAAGCAAAUCAUGCAAGACAGGUUUAUUAUUUCUAGCCAAGAAAUCAGUUAAAAUUCUCCUUUGAAGGCCAGUCAUCUUAUUUGCACGAUAUGUCUGUAUCCUAGUUGAAGUUAGUCUUCUUAUCUAAGUUAUUGCCCUAACUUAACAUGAUUCUCCAUGUUGGGCCACUUAUGCAUUCAUUUCCCUGUUUUUGGUUCAAUGCUGUAUAGGAGAUGGGGCGUACUAUCACUGGCCUACAUUGGCCAGACUGACGUUAUUGAGCUUAGAACAUAUUGGCCCUAGCCAGUGUAUGUACCUGCUAAAUCUUAAUCCAUUUUUUAAUGCUACAGGCUUUUAAUAAAUUACACGUAUAUAUUGAAGUUACACAAGAAAACCGAAUAUAAAUUAUGCUUAUCGGUCAAUAUAGACACAAUAUUUUUUUCACAUGGAAAAUAACGCCAUUUUGGAUGGGUUAGGGGUUGAGAACACACUUCCUACCACAAAAUAUUUGGAGGUGCAUUUAUCGAGAGAGAAACAGAUUAUGGUCUUUUUUUUCGUGGCUCACCAUUCGAGUCUUGUACUUUUGGACCAACUUGAUGCUUGCUCCAAAAUAAAAUUUUAGAAUAGGUUAUUUUUUGAUUUUUUUAGAUAUAUACUUACUAAAAUAUAGUACGAAUUUCUAGUUUUAUCGCUCAAAUAAAAAAAAAAACUGACACUAUUGAUGGCCAUUGGCUACCAUCCCAUCUGCUCUAAACGGCCAUCGUUCACGCGUUCUCGGUGCCCGUUACUCUAGAAAGCAGAAAAUAACACGAUCCUCUGCGCCAUCCAUGUGCGGCGGCGUUUCCGCAAUUCAUGCCGGUGAAAACGUUUUUCUCGAAAAGAAGAACCAUUUGCAGCAUAGUUAUUAAAUACCACUGCUACGAAAUCGGCCGGUUGGACCAAAAUCUACAUUAAAAAAUAUAAAAAUUUUUUAGCAUAAUAGAAUAUGCAUAACUAUUUUGAUAAAUUUUGAACUGUUUUUUAAUUAUAAUAUAAGCAGAAAAAUCAGGGAUCAUUUAAAAAUUUAAUUUUUUAAAUCUAAAAAAUAUAUAUAUUGCAAAAAAGUUAUAAUUAUUGAUAAAUUUUAUAUUAUAAAUAAUAAAGUUUUAAAAAUAUCCAAAAGACAAAAUGAGCAGCAUAUAUAUAUUUCAUUAUCCACCGAAGGAAGAAUUGAUUAAUUACUUUUAUGUAAAUAACUAAGUAUGGACCAUCAAAAUCUAUUUAAAAUAACUUCAGCUAGUGACGUAAAAUACCGUCGAGUGAUAGUGCGUUCUUAGCCCUGCCCGCUUCACCAAAUUUUAGAUCCAAUCAAUAGGUUUGGUCUGUGUUUAAUAAAUCUGCAUGCCAGCUCAAGCCAGAGCGGGUCUUCGCAUGCAACAAUGUUAGAGAUGGAGUGAUAGUUUUUGACCUCAUAUCCCAAGUAUCAUUAUUCAUUAGUUGUGAUUCAUGAUAUUUAGGCUGGCAUUUGGAUUCCAAAUUGCAACUUGGAAUGUGAGGUUGAUGUGUUAUUACUGUGUUUCUUAAAAUAAGGUUCAUUUAGCUUGUUUACUACGGAAUAGGGCAAGUUCCAAGUCUUUGUUUUUGUUCUUUUUAAUUUCGUGGUAGCUGAAGUCGUUGCUUUAUUUUAUAAGUCCAACCACUCCGACACAAGUUCAGCUGGUCAUGAUGCAUGGAUAUUUGUUUCUCGAAGUUGUCGAGUUGAUAUACGGGUCACAAGUUACAAUGCAUAAGCUCUGAUUGUUUGAUUCAUUAAAGCUCAUUUUUCUCCUGUUCGAGUUGUUUUAGAGUAUUUUAGUCUUCCGGCAAGGCUGGACCUUUUCAACUCGAUCUUUAAUUAGAAAGAAUACAAUUUCCGUUUAAAGUUCACCAAAAUUUGACUUGUUAGAGAGUAGGUAAUUUCAUCACUCUUUAUGUCAUCAAUAUAUUUUUUAUUAUUUUUUGGAGCCACAUCGAGAAAAAUUUGGUACAAAAUUAAAAUAAAAAUAAAAUCAAACCAGCGUAUUCUAUGUCAACCCAAGGAAUUAGCAUCAUCAAUAGAGAACAUUCAAUUCUCAAUUCGAUUCAUUGCAAAAUAGCGAGAGCAUGAAUUAUUUAAAAUUUCUGUAAAUAGGGCACAUGAUUAUCUUGAUUACUCUCAUGUUUGUUUUAUCGGACUCAUUAGCUCAAACAAGCUCCAAUUUGGCCCAAUUAAUCCCCAUCAUUCAUGGUUGACUGAUAAGUAAUCUGCCUUCAAGUCACCAAAGCAUCAUUGUCAUUGAAUUAGGUACAUGAAUGGGCUCACAUUAAUUGGACAGUUUCUUAGCCUCCACUUCGUCUGCUCAUCUUGGUUGCCUAAACUAAUGGGCAUUUGGUGGUUCACAUAUAUCAUGCUAAAAAAAUAUUUAAAUACUUAUCACGUAUCAUAAAAAAAGAAAAGAUCCUUGCUCAUUAAAUUUCUUCUGUUCAUGGCAUAUUGAAUAUGCUAUGGAUGUCGCAAAAGCGAUGGAUGGCUUAUCUUUUCUCAUGUCAGAAACGCCUGCUCAUUUGCGAAUUUCCCGCACAUAAUUACAAAGACGACAAAAUAAAACCAUUAAUAGUUUAAUUGCAUUCGUUUCCUACAGCAAUCCGCUCCGGUUAAUAUAUAGUGAACAUAUAGAUCGCCACCCCCAACCAACCCCAGGCAAGACCAGGUCCAGUUUACCCCAUGGAAGAACCCCGGCCUCCCCGCAUUGCCCUCCUCUCUAGCCCCGGCCUGGGCCACAUCAUUCCCUUCGCCGAGCUAGCCCGUCACCUCGUCCUCCGCCAGCGCAUCGCCGUCACCCUCAUCACCCACCCCGCCGAACCCUCCGCCGCCGUCGACCGGGCUCUCUUCAACAACCUGCCCGACGAAGUCGACACCGUCUGCCUCCCCGAAUUCCCGCCGGAGGACUCCUCGAAUGGCACCACCAAACUGGAGACCCGCGUCUUCGAAACUAUAAAGGCCAACUUUCCUCACCUCCGUUCCCUUCUGAGCUCUAUUUCCUCGUCUGCUCCUCUCGCGGCACUCGUCAUCGAUACCUUCUGCAUCGACGCCUUGGACGUGGCCUCCGAGCUUGGCAUCCCGGCCUACCUCUACUUCACUUGCUCAUGCACGGCUCUCUCCUUUCUUUCCACAUCCUUACGCUGGACGCCUCAUUCCAAGGGGAAUACCGGGACCUGCCCGAGCCGGUCCGCCUGCCCGGGCCGGGUGCGUGCCGGUCCGAGGGGAGGAUCUCUUCGAACCGAUACAGGACCGGAGAAACGAGGUAUACAAGUGGUUUGUCCGCGUCCACAAAACGAUUUUACGAAACCAAGGGGAUUCUGGUGAACAGCUUCGAGGAUCUGGAGCCAGAGGCCGUGAAAGGUUUGAAGGAAGCUGACGGUAUGCCUCCGGUCUAUCCGGUUGGGCCGCUGGUCCGGACCGCUCCGGAUGAGGAGCACGAGUGUUUGAGGUGGUUGGACCGGCAGCCGCGUGGGUCCGUUGUCUACGUCUGCUUCGGGAGCGGGGGAACGCUGACAUGCGCUCAGACGAGGGAGCUGGCUUUGGGUCUGGAGAGGAGCGGCCAGAGAUUCCUGUGGGUGGUGAAGAGCCCACAUGAACGUGAGGUUAAUGGCACGUACUUGGGGGACAAGGGGAAUAAAAAUCCCUUGGACUUCUUGCCUGAGGGAUUCCCGGAGAGGACCGAGGGCGUGGGCUUUUUGGUCCCUUCAUGGGCCCCUCAGGUGGCGGUGCUCGGCCACGCCUCCACCGGAGGGUUUAUAUCGCACUGCGGGUGGAACUCGACGCUNNNNNNNNNNNNNNNNNNNNNNNNNNNNNNNNNNNNNNNNNNNNNNNNNNNNNNNNNNNNNNNNNNNNNNNNNNNNNNNNNNNNNNNNNNNNNNNNNNNNNNNNNNNNNNNNNNNNNNNNNNNNNNNNNNNNNNNNNNNNNNNNAAGGCAAGCGAGAGUGGUCUAGUAGAGAGGGAUGAGAUCGCGAGUGUAGUUAAGCGUUUGAUGGAAGGGGAAGAAGGGAAGAGAUUGCGGAAGAGGGCAGAGGAGCUUAGUCAUGCAGCAGCUCGUUCUCUCGGACAAGAAGGGUCUUCAGUCAGGGCAACGUCGGAGGUGGCACGUGAAUGGAUGGAUAGGAGGGCCUGACGAUUCCCAAGCUGCUAUCGCACCUGCUACUUUAUUAGUUAUUUUUGAAUCGUGUGUCGUUAUUGAGAUUCCUGGUUGAAAUGUGAUAUGGUAUUUUAUAGCUCUGUUCCUUAAAAGUAGCGUCCAUUUGGUUGGCUUACAGUAGCAAAAUAAGCACAAGUUGACCAUAAGCAAGCGUGAACUCCAUGCUUGAUUUCGUCAGGCCAACAACCACCCGAUGCGAUCGAGAAAACUCUCCGAUAAUGGACCUGUCUUAGCGCUCAAAAUGUAUAGGUUUCCUCAAAGUCGAAAUUCUUAAGUUGGUGCCGAGGAUCACAACAAUAUACAAAAUCCCUGAGCGUUUUAAUUUAUUGGGAGGUAACUGGUAGGUUAUACCUCUCCUGACCAUUUGGAUGCAACGUUAAUGUGCAGUUCUCAUU